rnacentral:rRNA from 1 species
GAUGAACGCUGGCGGCGUGCCUAAUACAUGCAAGUCGAGCGAACAGACGAGAGUGCUUGCACUCUCUGACGUUAGCGGCGGACGGGUGAGUAACACGUGGGUAACCUACCUAUAAGACUGGGAUAACUUCGGGAAACCGGAGCUAAUACCGGAUAAUAUUUAGCUUCGCAUUAAGCAAUAGUGAAAGACGCUUCUGCUGUCACUUAUAGAUGGACCCGCGGUGUAUUAGCUAGUUGGUGAGGUAACGGCUCACCAAGGCAACGAUACAUAGCCGACCUGAGAGGGUGAUCGGCCACACUGGGACUGAGACACGGCCCAGACUCCUACGGGAGGCAGCAGUAGGGAAUCUUCCGCAAUGGACGAAAGUCUGACGGAGCAAUGCCGCGUGAGUGAAGAAGGUUUUCGGAUCGUAAAACUCUGUUGUAAGGGAAGAACAAGUACGUUAGUAACUGAACGUACCUUGACGGUACCUUACCAGAAAGCCACGGCUAACUACGUG